rnacentral:rRNA from 1 species
UACGAAGGUGGCAAGCGUUGUUCGGAUUUACUGGGCGUACAGGGAGCGUAGGCGGUUGGAUAAGCCCUCCGUGAAAUCUCCAGGCUUAACCUGGAAAGUGCAGAGGGGACUGUUCAGCUAGAGGAUGGGAGAGGAGCGCGGAAUUCCCGGUGUAGCGGUGAAAUGCGUAGAGAUCGGGAGGAAGGCCGGUGGCGAAGGCGGCGCUCUGGAACAUUUCUGACGCUGAGGCUCGAAAGCGUGAGGGAGCAAACAGG